rnacentral:rRNA from 1 species
GCCUACGGGAGGCAGCAGUGGGGAAUUGUUCGCAAUGGGCGCAAGCCUGACGACGCAACGCCGCGUGGAGGAUGAAGGUCUUCGGAUUGUAAACUCCUGUUGCCAGGGACGAAAAGCUCCGACCUAACACGUCGGAGUCUGACGGUACCUGGUGAGGAAGCCCCGGCUAACUCUGUGCCAGCACCCGCGGAAUA